UACCUACUAGGGAUAUUGCCUUGGUUAAUCGUCGAUAUAAGGUAAUCUUUCUUCGAAUUUGGGGUGAAUAUGCAUCUCGACAUACAGUGUGGUGGCAAGCACUUGUAUCACAGUAUUGCUGCAUGUCUGCUACAUGGCUCAAGAAAUUAGAUAUUCUAACCGGUAAGUAACAAAUCAUCCUAAAAUGAAUUACUAUUUUACCAUUUUGUUUGCGAGGUAAUAGAACUGAACACUGUCAGACUGACUUGCUUAUCGUGCAGAGAUAUCAACUACUACGGUGGACUCCGAAUUGACCAACUCUACAGAUUCACUCAGUGCACCUGAGUUGGGCGUGAUUCGUCAUUUAUUCGUUAGUUCUCAUGAGGAUGCUCUACAGUUCACUCAAGCAGUCGUUUCCUUGAGAGCGAAAUUUAUUACUAUUGCUUCCCUUUUAGACCGAUUGGAUCCUCAAGGAAUCAUCAGACGAGAUGUGCCUUUGAUACAACAAGAGAAUACUAUCGCCCGUUUUUAAUAAGCUUAAGAGAUUGCUUUUAGAUUCAUGAUUUUGGUUACAUGUUUAACAUUUGUAGGGAUGCUCUGGUCUAUUAACGUUGUUUUUUCGGUCGUAGAAACAUAAAUUAAACUGUCCUAUUAUUUCGAUUAUGAUGAUUUGUUAUGUCCGGAUUUCGUCCGGUAUGUUCGAACCAGAUAAAAAAACACAUGGUUUUCCAAUGAUGCA